rnacentral:lncRNA from 1 species
CCUCCUCCGGCGUCGCCAAUCCCAGCAGGGGAGACGCGGCAUCUCGCUCGGCGAGCUCUUCCUCGCCGGCGUCUUCCUCGCCUGGCGCUGCGGGUGUCCCAGGGCCGUGGGGCGACGGAGGCGCCGCCGCCGCAUCCUCCUCUUCCUCCUCUUCCUCAUCCAGGGUGGUGGCGCCAUCCAGGCGGAGCUCGACGCCGCCAGCAGCCGGCAGCGCGUGGCGCUCGGCGCCGUAGAGCCGCUCGUCCUCGGCGCCUCCGUAGGAAGCCGAGUCGGAGGAGGCCGAGGUGUCGUCGCGGUAGGCGAAAGCCUCGUCCGCUCCCUCAGCCACGGAGCUCUCCGAGAGGGAGCGCAGGAAGGAGGCCGAGGCGCUGUCCUCCUCUUCCUCCUCCUCUUCCUCCUCCUCCUCGACGGCGGUGGAGGAGGCGGGGGGGCCGAGGGCGAUCUCCACGGCUUCGGCCUCGAAGAGCAGGCUGCCGCGGAAAGGCAGCAGCGCCGCCGGCACCAUGCCGGCUUCGGCGGCUCCCAAGAGCCGGGCGAGCAGCGGGGCCGCGCCGGGACCUCCCGGCUCCCACUCCUCCUCCUCCUCCGGCGUCGCCUGCCCUUCGCCAUCCUCCUCCUCCUCCUCGGGCAGGGCGAAGGGGGCCACGUCGCCGUCGUCGCCAUCCUCAUCCUCGGGGCAGGGGGCGAAGGGCUCGCCGGGCGCCGGCUCGCCGUCGGCCACCAGGUUGGGCGAGCAGGAGGGCGAGGUGCUGGCGGUGCCCGAGGACGCCCAGCUGCCGCCCUCGGCCGUCAUGUAGGAGCCCGAGGGCGAGGUGGGCGGCGAGCCGGGGCCUUCGCUCGCCCCUUCCUCUUCCUCCUCCUCCUCCUCCUCUUCCUCCUCCUCCUCCUCGCAGCUCGCUGCCGCCUUGAGCCGGGCGAAGGCCGCCUUGACGGGCGUCGUGAAGAAGAGGUCGGGCUCCACCACCGCGGCGGUGGUGGUGGUGGUGGUGGGACGGCGCGUCUCCUCGCCCAUGACGAUGCGGGUGUCCAGCGGGGCGGCGGUGGCGGCGGCGGGUGGCACCCGGCGCGUUUUGCUAGGGGACGGCGGCGGCGGCGGCAGCGGGCAGCGCUCGGCCAGAGCGGGGGCGGCCCCGGUGCUGCCCCCACCGCUGCCACCACCACCACCACCGCCGGCGGCG